UUUUAAUUGUAUUUCUGAUUUAUGUGUAGUUAUUAGCUUUCAUUUGGUAAAAUUUGGUGCUGAUCUGCUCUUUAGCAAUGUGUCUCCCUUUUCCUUGGUGAUGUUUUUGGUGUUCAUUUUGUAUUUUGUACUUAUUAUUGCUUAGUUUGAAACCAAAUUAAAAAUGACUUUUUUGAUCCACUAAGAAAACACAUAAAUACAUGAACCAUAUUUCUUGAAAUCUUUUUUGUUGUUCAAUUCGUUUUUGUGGAUCUUGUUUGUCUUGCUCAGUUCCAACAUCUUGAUAUUUUUGGAGCCCUUUCCUCCUUAAUCUGACACCUUAAUUCGUAUUACUUUGAUAGGUUUGUUUUAAUAAGGGGUGAUUAGCAUCUGUGAUUUUUUUUAAAGGAUCUGUUUGUAUAUGAGAAUGGAUGUGGUUAAAUAUUUUGUUAAAAACUUUCUUCUCCAUAGUUGUCUACUUGUUUGUUUACUAUAGUGUACUCUUUAUAUGUAAGAUAUUUAUCUUAGGUGGAGGGAGAAUCAAAUUUGGUCUUUAAUUUAGGAUAGGAUUGUGUGUUGCGGUCAACUGCUCAUCAUUCUUGAUCCAUACCUAUGCAUUGAUUUUUUAUUUUUCUUGUGAUUUUGUCGCUACCUUAGGCUAACCAACAUUUCUUGAAACACAAUGAUGCUUGGUCAUGGGUACAAGAUUCUACAUCGAUGCUAUGUAUGAGUAAGGAGGUGCCAUUAUACUUGGAUGAUGGAACGGGUCCUAAGUUUAUUUUGGGAACACGAGGUGCCACUGGUCUAGAACUUACGGUUGGGAGUGAUAUUUUUGAGGAGUCAGGACGAUCCCUUGUGCGGGGAACAUUGGACUAUCUCCAAGGUCUCAAGAUGCUUGGAGUGAAGCGUACAGAGCGAGUCUUGCUCUUCUGACUGGGACAACCUUGACUAUUGUAGGGGAGGUAUGAUAUACUAUGUUGAGAAUAUCUUUUGCUAAAUUUCUUGAGAUGAACAACUCAUGUCUACUUGAUGCAAGUGGUGGUUCAUUACACUGUAGAGGCUACAUGUUUUCAAUUUGUUUUUUGUAGUGACACUAAUAAAACUAACCCAGGCAAAUUGUUAUUGAAUUUUUAAGAAAAUAGCAGCAUACUGGCAACUGAGCAUUAGCUUAUGUCAUUAUGUGCUAUAAAUAUGAAUCUUAGCCUAGCUUUUCUAUGUGUUUAUUUGGCGUCCCAGUUUCCUGAGAUUGGUGAAAUAUCAUCUUAAUUUUCAUGGCCCAUGGAUUUUCUACGAGACGUCCUAAGGAACUUGGUUAUGUGUAACACUGACCAGCUGAGUUCCUUUUCCCUUUUUAUAAAGUGGCAAUUAGGGGGAAAAACAACGGAAGUUUCUAUUUGGAAUAUAUGCUUUGUUUAUAAUCAAUAUGUAAGGGAUCUAAGUUUUAGUGGCCGAUGUUGGUUCCAUUGUCCUCUAAACAAAGAAACAGUUUGGUACUUCAACUUGAUCAUGGGGGCUACCGGGCGGGCAUCAUCAGUUAUGCGGAGUAUAUAUCUAGCAUUUUCUUCUCUACACACGUGAUAUUUUAAGACUUAAGUUUAUCUUUGUUUUUAUUUCAAUCUCCCGCGACAUUUAUCUUUUUUCCUAUAAAUAGCAUUCAUCUUACCCUUGUUGGCAAGAUAUUAAAGACGAUGUGGGGACACUUUGCAUUCGGGGCCCUCACUAAGGGCCUUUUUAUGUUUCUCCUAAAACUAUCAAUCAGGUAAUUGCAAAUCAGGUAUUGACCUCUUUAAUCUUUCUAAAUCCUGUCUUACGCACCCUCGACUUAUAUGUAAUUGGUGUAUGCAUCAGGUUGUAUAAAUAUGCUUCUCUGGGAUUCACUGUCUUUGGUGUCUAUCUGAUUGCUAAGCAUGCUCUUGGACUAAAGAAUAGUAGAAUCACAUACAUUGACAACAUAUUUAAUUAUUCGACUCCAACAGAUCAUGAGAGACUGCAAAGAAGUUAGAAACUAUUACAGCUACUACAUUUCUUACUAAUAUACUUGUAAUCCUUAAAGCAACCUACAUCCAUGCACCAAUGUGUUUAGAAACUCCUAACAUAAUUAGGCACCUUAUCUAACAUCUAAAUUACAUUCACAUGAGCUACACUAUCACUCUGUGUUGUAGGGGCAUCACCAAGUACAAUCGCGCUGGUUAUCUCAAGUACAAAUAUGAGAAGAGGAUUUUAAAUGAUGGUGUCAAUGCCAAGGUACCAUCAGUCAAUAUUGAUAGAUGUUUGGGACUUUUGUGAUAGACAUUGUGGCAAUCUAUUGGGAUGAGUACUUGAGUGUUCCUUUUUGUAUAUUGUUUGGCUGAAAUAUACUUGUGAUUACUUGCCCGUAUUAGGAGCGAAGUUAGGGACCCAUUGGUGGCCAAUAUUGAAAUCAAAUUAUAUUGUAAAGUAUAGUGUUUGGAAACCUAUUGGAUCACUAUUUUACUGCCUAAAGAACUGCUCAAAUUAUUAGUUUUCGUGUAAUCUACUUUAUCGUUCUUAAUAAUGUACUGACAUGUGGAAUAUAUGAACAUGGGACAGGGAACACACACACAAUAUGUACAUGUGCAUAGGUUAGAGUACAGUCAUAUUUAGCUGCACAUGAUGAACAUGAUAUAAAUUGUUUGUGCGAGCUUCUUCUGUACUUCUCUUCUUUUGAAUGUAAAAUUUACCUGCUAAUGGUCAAAUCAGUUUUCCCAAUACAGUUGGCAGUAUUUUGUUGCGUAAUGUCAUCUGUUUUCUUCAAAAUUUUUCUUCUAAUUUCGCAACUUCUGAUUUGGGAAGUUGGAGUACCUGUUUCUUUUUUGGUGUAAUGGGUGAAGUUGAGGUGUUUACAGUAAUUUCGUGAUACCAACCGUUUAGCUGAUUCUUUUAGAUAUGUUAUCCAUUUUUAUUUUUUAGAAUUUGGUCAAUCUUUGUGUCACACUGAAAUAAGAUGAGGGGAAAAGAAGGGAAAAUGAACUUGUGUAAACCAACUUGGUUGUCAUAGAUGUAAGAAAAACUAAUAUCAUUAUUUAGGUCUCCUACUUAUGAGUUGUAUGAAAGGUUGGUUGGAGUAUGGAAAGAUGAUUAAUUUAACCACUUUUUUCAAGAGAACUUCAUUUAUCUUUAGAUCAGCUUGACCUACUUCUUUUAGAAAUAAGAGUGUGAUAAGCUUGAUUACUUCAUUCAUCCGUCUUUGAUGUAAUUGAGACUUGAGAGGCUAACCCUCAGGUUGAAGCAAUUUUAUUGGCUCUAUGAGGGUAUGGGGAGGAAUGAUGUAUAUCCAAGACACAAACAUUGGGAAUCAUUCUUAAAUAGAUAUCACCAAAAGAGGAAAAAGUGGAGCUUUGAUGAGUUAACUAGGUUUAAUGUUUUAGAAGUAAGUGGUAGGGAAGUAUGAUUGAGUGAUAUAUUUUAGUUACACUGUAUAGGCACUUAAAUUUGUGUAAGCUGCCUAAAAUGAUUUCGGUUACACUUUGAGGGUUGCUUGAAACAAGGUUCUUGAGUCUAAUGUGACUUUAGCUAAGCUCACUCACUCUUGUAUUUUUUUUUCCAUAACCAUGUACGCAUUUUGCAAGCACUCAUUGUUUAUGGUGACAUUAGUAUCUAAAAUAUUUUGUGGUGAUUCUUUUUUUAG